rnacentral:rRNA from 1 species
GAUGAACGCUGGCGGCGUGCCUAAUACAUGCAAGUCGAGCGAACAGACGAGGAGCUUGCUCCUCUGACGUUAGCGGCGGACGGGUGAGUAACACGUGGAUAACCUACCUAUAAGACUGGGAUAACUUCGGGAAACCGGAGCUAAUACCGGAUAAUAUAUUGAACCGCAUGGUUCAAUAGUGAAAGACGGUUUUGCUGUCACUUAUAAAGGGAUCCGCGCCGCAUUAGCUAGUUGGUAAGGUAACGGCUUACCAAGGCAACGAUGCGUAGCCGACCUGAGAGGGUGAUCGGCCACACUGGAACUGAGACACGGUCCAGACUCCUACGGGAGGCAGCAGUAGGGAAUCUUCCGCAAUGGGCGAAAGCCUGACGGAGCAACGCCGCGUGAGUGAUGAAGGUCUUCGGAUCGUAAAACUCUGUUAUUAGGGAAGAACAAAUGUGUAAGUAACUAUGCACGUCUUGACGGUACCUAAUCAGAAAGCCACGGCUAACUACGUG